UAGAACACAAGUUCAACAUAUAUACCACCAAUAAUACUGAUCAUCUCUACUUGCCACUCAUAUACCGAUCAGCAAGACAAUGAGGGCCGAGUGCGCAGUUCUUUGCAUUGUUCUGGUGAUUAUGUCUUCAACAACCCUCACAUCAUCAUGCAACGGUGGUAUGUAUAUAACUUCUUAAUAUGUGCCUACAGUACGUAAUUUUAUUUGUGCACGCGUGGUUUAAAAAGCCAGCUAUGGAUCAUGUGCAUGCAGUUCCGACGACGAUCAGUUUCCAUUUACCUGGAUGCACUUUCGCGCUUUGUAUAUCAGAAUGCUCCGUGAUUGCCAUUAGGAAUGGCCAAGUGUUACAGUGCUCCAACUGUCAGAAGAAGGACCAAUAUAAUGCUACUGCAUGUUUCGUCACCAAUUAGCAGCAGCCGAGGAUGAUAAUGGAAUUUUUGUUUGAAUAUGAUUAAAAUUGACGCAAAUAAUGGAUAUAAUCAAUUACUCAAUCCAUCCCAAAUUGUAAAUCGUUUGACUUUUUUAAUACCAAGUUUGACCAC
rnacentral:lncRNA from 1 species